UACGAAGGGGGCUAGCGUUGCUCGGAAUCACUGGGCGUAAAGGGUGCGUAGGCGGGUCUUUAAGUCAGGGGUGAAAUCCCGGAGCUCAACUCCAGAACUGCCUUUGAUACUGAAGAUCUUGAGUGCGGGAGAGGUGAGUGGAACUGCGAGUGUAGAGGUGAAAUUCGUAGAUAUUCGCAAGAACACCAGUGGCGAAGGCGGCUCACUGGCCCGAUACUGACGCUGAGGCACGAAAGCGUGGGGAGCAAACAGG
rnacentral:rRNA from 1 species